rnacentral:rRNA from 1 species
GACGAACGCUGGCGGCGUGCUUAACACAUGCAAGUCGAACGGCAACGCCCUGCAUUUGUGCGGUGCUCGAGUGGCGAACGGGUGAUUAACCCGUGAGUACCCUGCCCUUGGCUUUGGGAUAACUUCAGUUACCUUGGUCUCAUACCCGUUCUGCGCUCCUGCUUCAUGGUGGUUGUUGGAUCGUUUUUGCGGUUCGGGAUGGACUUGCGGCUUAUCAGCUUGUUGGUGGGGUAGUGGCUUACCAAGGCCUUUACGGGUAGUCGGCCUGAGAGGGUGAACGGCCACAUUGGGACUGAGAGACGGACCAGACGCCUACGGGAGGCAGCAGGGGGGAAUAUGGCACAAUGGGCGGAAGCCUGAGGCAGCAACGCCGCGGGUGGGAUGACGGUCUGCGGGUUGUAAAACGCCUGAGCAUGUGACGAAGCGUGAGUGACGGUAAUGGGUAAAGAAGCACCGGCUAACUACGUG